rnacentral:sRNA from 1 species
UUUUAGCCCCGAUUGCAGCGGCAUCCUUUUGCGGAGCGAAGCGGAGCAAAAGAUAGAGCGGAAAGCGGGACCGGUG